GUGGCAGAGAUGAGGAGCAACCAGCAAAUGGGAUUGUGAGAGUGGCGUGUGAGGUAGGAGAAAGAAGAGAAUCGAAUCUAGGAAGGGACAUGGAUGGAGCUGGAAACCAUUAUCCUCAGCAAACUAAUGCAGGAACAGAAAACCAAACACUGCAUGUUCUCACUUCACCUGCAGGGAUCCUCCCUUGUGGCCCUCUCCCUGCUUGAAGUCCCACCCAAAAGGCUUGGGGACAUAGCAGCAGCUGCCUCGGUACAGAGGAUAGAUAAAUUUUGUUUGAUGCCCUCUCUCCAUACUUCAAUGCCUGGACCGAGGAAUUCCUCCCAUGUUUUGUUUCUCAGUCCUUCCUUGUCUUUCGUGACCUUGACACUUUUGAAGAAUACAAUUGAGGUAUUUUGUAGAAUGUCUCUCAAUUUAGGUUUGUCUGAUGUUUCCCAUGAUUACACUGAGGUUACACAUUUUAGCAAGAAUGCUGCAGAAGUGUUCUUAGGGCAUCUUACUGGGAGGUACGUGAUGUUGAUGUUAACCUUGAUCAUUUGGUUAAAGUAA
rnacentral:lncRNA from 1 species